UGAUAAGACUUGAAGAGUGACAAUGGAAUUUAUCUCAGUGCUGACGCUCUAGCCACUCUGUCCCAUUCCUGGUGCCAGGGUCUCCUGUGGAAGGCAAGAAGGGGCUCUGCACCUCCUGCAAGGGGCUCUUUCCAAGGGAAUCUUGGGAAUAAAGACAAGCAGCAAAACAUCUGCUUCCAUGGAAAUUACACUUUCUUCUUUCUUCCCAUUCCCACACCAUCAAUAUCCAGAACAGGAGAACCAAAGGUCCUUCAGAUCCAGUGAGUCUGGUCUAACGUGUACCCCAGUAAGCAAGCAUCACUGGAGUCAAGACCAUCUCUUCAGGAAGUCACGAGGGGUGCUUGAGACUCAGAGACUGACUUCGGUGUUAGACAGCACCCAGUGAGAUAUUUGGGAAAAGGUGAACCUUGAACUAAAAACCAACAACAAGAUAAAAAACUGU